UGCACUGUAGGGUAGUACAGUAGGGGUGUUUAUUUAGAAUACUAAUAAAACUCAAUGCACAAAUCUUAAAAUCAUUAAUUAAAACAAUGUAGAGUAAUAUAGUUAAAGACAUAUCUGCAAGGCAUUUACGCAUACUAGUAUCAAUUCUGUUGAACCAAAUAAUCAAGAACAGAGAGAAAAUAUCGACCGUGCAAAAAAUGAUGAUUUUUAUGACAUUAACAUAGAUAAAAUUAUUGACUCGGAGCCUGAAUUUAAUAUAAAACAACAAUUAAGUUCAGAUACUGAGUUUAAAAUUGACCCUGAAAUUGUCCUAAAUGCAGAAAAUGUGCCAAUUCAUGGCAAUGCAGACGAGCAAGUUAAGAAAAAAAUUGAGCAAACACUAAAUUCAUUAGAAAAAGAGUUAGGAUCUUGGGCCACAAAGCAUAAAAUUAAAAGAAGUGCAGUAUCAGAUUUAUUGAAACUACUGAGUAAAUAUAUACCAAAAGCUGAUCUUCCGAAAGACUACACAACUCUCCUAAAGACUCCAAGAAAUACUAAGUUGUUGGACAUGACACCUGGAAGUUAUUACCAUUUUGAUAUGAAAUCAGCCAUAAUUUACAUUUAAAAUCUCUUAUCUUGCCAGCAUUGGGGGUCACGAAGUUGGGGCAAUUACUAAAAAUAUUUUAAGAAAGCUUUUGACUAAUGCAGUUGCUAGCCUUUAUAAUUGGGAGGGUAAAAAAGGUUAUAUAUUGUAAUAAUUGUACAGAAGCCGCAAUACAGAGUCCUCACUAUAAGGGUAUUGAAGAAGACGUUAUCCAAGCGAUAAAAAACUGGAUGAGACAUGCCUCAGCAAGGCUGAAAACUACUAAUCAGAAGAAGAGCCCAGAGGGAAGUGAUGAAAAUUCACUUGAUGUCAGGUUCAUUUAAAACCUGCUGAUAUUAUACGUUCAGUAUUUGAAGUCCGUUUUUAGCCAAGUUUUUGGGAAAAUAUUUUUAUAGAUAAAUGUACA